rnacentral:misc_RNA from 1 species
UCUCCGUUGGUGAACCAGCGGAGGGAUCAUUACUGGAAUCGCAAGAUCCCACAACCCUGUGAACCUACCGAAACGUUGCCUCGGCGGGUGCCCGGCCUCUGCGCCGGGCGCUGCGCCCGCCGGCGGCCCCCUACUCUGUCUCUGCAGCGUGGCAUCUCAGAGUCCCAGAAAACAAGUCAAAACUUUCAACAACGGAUCUCUUGGCUCUAGCAUCGAUGAAGACGCAGC